UUGAAUCUGUGAUGACUGGCAGAAUGUUCAACGAUUCAAAAACAUAUUAGUUACAGCUCUGAUCCACUCCCACUGGAUGGUAGGGAGGUUGCGUCCCCUGCAACUCAAUCACUUCAAAAUCUCCACUUCCACCUCGAAUUUGGAUUUUCCGACCACAACAACUAGUGUGACGCCAGAGAGCAGCAGACCCGACCUCGAGACCAAAAGGUGUCCGUGGAUUCCUGCUCCUGUCUGCCUGCCAAGUUAUCUCCCAUGGCUCCUCUCUUCCUCCCUUUUCCCCCAGAGGGCCGUUGUGGGUCAGACCUCUCUCGUGGUCUCUUCAGUUGAUUUCUUAGAUCCCCCGAGGGAAGCGGAAGAGCUGGCGUCCGAUAACAUCUCAGUUAAAAAGACAUGGAACCAUGACAUUGUCUGAUCCAUUGCCGAUAGCUGAGGCUGCAGAGAGAGCUACACUUUUUUUUUUUUUCUGGUCUCCCAUGUCUAAAGCAACACAUAUGUGUACAUCUAUGUAAAUUUAGAAAAGAUUAGAACUGUGCAGUCCAAAUUCCAAGAAGCUGUGGACUUUUGUGUCAAGGAAAGAAGUCUCACGGCUUCUUAGACAAUAGAGUGUUGUGGGGGAUGAAAUCCCCAACAAAGUAAUCUUGUUAUGUUCGGAAAAGAAAAAUUGCAUUACAAUUAUACUGAACAAGUAUCAACCCCCCCCCCCCCUUCUCUAGGGAGAGUCCAAGAGUUUUUAGUUCUUAAAUAAUAAAUGUGAAGCAGCAUUACUGU